rnacentral:SRP_RNA from 2 species
GCUGGGCGUGGUGGCUCACGCCUGUAAUCCCAGCACUUUGGGAGGCCGAGGUGGGCGGAUCACCUGUGGUCAGGAGUUCAAGACCAGCCUGGUCAACAUGGUGAAAUCCCAUCUCUA